rnacentral:misc_RNA from 1 species
UUUGUAUCUGUGGUAGGCA